AAGGAGUCUAACAUAUAUGCGAGUUUUUGGGUGUCAAACCCGUACGCGUAAUGAAAGUGAACGGAGGUGGGAACCCUCUUCGGGGGGUGCACCAUCGACCGGUCCUGAUGUCUUCGGAUGGAUUUGAGUAAGAGCAUAGCUGUUGGGACCCGAAAGAUGGUGAACUAUGCUUGAAUAGGGUGAAGCCAGAGGAAACUCUGGUGGAGGCUCGCAGCGGUUCUGACGUGCAAAUCGAUCGUCAAAUUUGGGCAUAGGGGCGAAAGACUAAUCGAACUAUCUAGUAGCUGGUUCCUGC
rnacentral:misc_RNA from 1 species